UACGUAGGGGGCAAGCGUUGUCCGGAUUUAUUGGGCGUAAAGAGCGUGUAGGCGGCCAGACAGGUCCGUUGUGAAAACUAGAGGCUUAACCCUCUAGACGUCGAUGGAAACCGUCUGGCUAGAGUCCGGAAGAGGAGAAUGGAAUUCCUGGUGUAGCGGUGAAAUGCGUAGAUAUCAGGAGGAACACCAGUGGCGAAGGCGACUACCUGGCCUGUUUCUUGACGCUGAGGCGCGAAAGCCUAGGGGAGCAAACGGG
rnacentral:rRNA from 1 species